rnacentral:lncRNA from 10 species
AUAAGAAGUGCCUUUUGCCUCCCACCAUGAUUCUGAGGCCUCCUGCCAUGAUUCUGAGGCCUCCUCAGCCACGUGGAACUGUAAGUCCAGUUAAACUUCUUUUUCUUCCCAGCCUCGGGUAUGUCUUUGUCAGCAGCAUGAAAACAGACUAAUACAGUAAAUUGGUACCACAAGUGGGAUGUUGCUGAAAAGAUACCCGAAAAUGUGGAAGCGACUUUGGAACUGGUUAACAGGCAGAGGUUGGAACAAUUUGGAGGGCUCAAAAGAAAACAGGAAAAUGCGGGAAAGUUUGGAACUUCCUAGAGACUUGUUAAAUGGCUUUGACCAAAACCCUGAUAGUGAUAAGGACAACAAAGCCCAGGCUGAGGUGGUCUCAGAUGGAAAUGAGGAACUUGUUGGGAACUGGAAAAAAGGUGAUUCUUGUUAUGUUUAGCAAACAGACUGCUGGCAUUUUACCCCUGCCCUAGAGAUUUGUGGAACUUUGAACUUGAGAAAGAUGAUUUAGGGUACCUGGUGGAAGAAAUUUCUAAGCAGCAAAGCAUCCAAGAGGUGACUUGGGUGAUGUUGAAGGCAUUCAGUCUUAUAAGGGAAGCAGAGAAUAGAAGUUCAGAACAUUUGCAGCCUGAAAAUGUGAUAGGAAAGAAAAACCAGUUUUCUAAGGAGAAAUUCAAGCUGGCUGCAGAGAUUUGCAUAAGUAACGAGGAUCCAAAUGUUAAUCCCCAAGACAAUGGGGAAAAAGGUCUCCAGGGUAUGUAAGAGACUUUUGCAGCAGCCCCUCCCAUUACAGGCCCAGAGGCCUAAGAGAAAAUGGUUUCAUGGGUUGGGCCCUGGGUCCCCAUGCUGUGUGCAGUCUUGAGACUUGAUGCCCUGCAUCCCAGCCACUCCAGCCAUGGCUGAUAGGAGCCAAUGUAGAGCUUGGGCUGUAGCUUCAGAGGGUACAAGCCCCAACACUUGGCAGCUUCUACAUGGUGUUGAGCCUGUGAGUGCACAGAAGUCAAGAAUUGGGGUUUGGGAACCUCCGCCUAGAUUUCAGAAGAUGUAUAGAAACACCUGGAUGCCCCAGGCAGAAAUUUGCUGCCAGGGCAGGGUGCUCAUGAAGAACCUCUGCUAGGGCAGCGCAGAAGGGAAAUGUGGGGUGGGAGCCCCCACGUAGAGUCCCUACUGGCGUACUGCCUAGUGGAGCUGUGAGAAGAGGGCCACCGUCCUCCAGACCCCAGAAUGGUAGAUCUACCAGCAGCUUGCACCAUUCACGUGGAAAAGCUGCAGACACUCAAUGCCAGCACAUGAAAACAGCUGGGAGGAGGCUGUACCCUGCAAAGCCACAGGGGCAGAACUGCCCAAGACCAUAGGAACCCGUCUCUUGCAUCAAUGUGUCCUGGAUUUCAGACGUGUAGUCAAAAGAGACCAUUUUGUAGCUUUAAAAUUUGGCUGCCUUACUGGAUUUUGAACUUGCAUGGGCCCUGUAACCACUUUGUUUUGGCCAAUUUCUCUCAUUUAGAGUAGCUGUAUUUACCCAAUACCUGUACCCCCAUUGUAUCUAGGAAGUAACUAACUUGCUUUUGAUUUUACAGGCUCAUAGGCAGAAGGGACUUUCCUUGUCUCAGAUGAGACUUUGGACUGUGAACUUCUGGAUCAAUGCUGAAAUGAGUUAAGACUGUGGGACUGUUGGGAAGACUUAGUGAAGAAAGCAAGAGGGCUAUAGCUAUAGCUACAGCUACAUGACAGAAGAAAGUGCUUUAAAAAGAUACCACUCACACGGAAAAGAAAUGUGCUCUUGGAGGAAGACACUCUGUCAACCCAUAUAGAUUGUUUAAGAUUUGAUUAUGAACAUAAAAGGAUACUUGAUUAUAGUAUAAUCUCUCAGUAAAAAGCCCUUCUAUGUGAAUUGGAGAAUGACUUAAAUUUUCUACCAGGGACACUGAAGUUGAAGCAUAAGAUGAAGAAAGAUGAGGAACUGAUAAGUUAAACCAUGAUCUCUGCCACAAAACAGAGAAGGCUAAGGAUAAGAAUGAAUUUGAUGUGAUAAAAACAAACUCACAAAAGACUUGAAGUUUCUCUCUGAAACUAAUAGGAACCCUUGCCUACUCUACUUAUCUAGCUAUAAUUACAUAAACAUUUCCAAAGCAAUUGUGAUAAGCUGUGAAAUUCACCAAAGACAUUUUCCCACGAUUAUCAAGAGGUAAACACUGUUUUUAUUUUGUGACAUCUCUUAUAAACUAAAUACAUACAUAGCUCCAUAAAAUGUAGAAAAGGAGGGUGAAAGAUGUAAAAAGCAUAAUGAUUGCUUUCAACAGAAGAAAAAAUUCUUAAAAUAAAGCCCUCUUACAGGCUCAAUUUAAAUUCCGUAAUUACUUAUUGAACACGUACUAUAUGAAAUGCACAGAAUAAGGUCAAGCAUAAAAAUCUUAUGUAUGUUCUCUGGCUUCCAAGUUGCACAAAAUCUUACAGGGCAGAGGAGCCAAAUAAAGAACUAUCUUGCAAGGAGAAGGGUGAUAAUGCUACACAAGUCCUUGUAUGCCUCAUAGAAGUGAAUUUACUCAAAGAAUACCAAAUCUUUGUAGACAAGUUCUAGCUUUUGAAUUUGCUGAACUAUGUGUUGUCCUGGUAACACAAUUGAAUCCACUUCUUUAUUUAAAUCUCCACUGAACUGAAUGCAUUUCAGUGAAAAUCUAUUCUUUCUUUCUUUCUUUCUUUCUUUCUUUCUUUCUUUCUUUCUUUCUUUCUUUCUUUCUCUUUCUCUUUCUUUCUUUCUCUCUCUCUCUCUCUUUUUUUUUCUGUAUCUCUAGUGCCACUCAGGGCUAAAGUAUGAAAUAGGAGCACAAUACAUUAUUUGUUGAGCUGAAAUAAAACAGAGAGUGACAGCUCUUAAGAUAACUUUAAACCAAAACUAAAAUUCUAAUGUGUCCCCAAACCAGCCAUCUGAAUGGACCUCUCUUCUUGGCUGAGGACAUUCCAAAAUGAGUUCAGGCCAUGUCAGGAAAGAAAGGUUGGACAUUGCUCAUUAUACUCUCCUCCCUUUGGGAAUUCAGGAAAAGCCAACUAGUAUUUAACAUCAACACAGACCUUAAGUCUGAUAAGAAACAUUUAUAAUCUAUCCUCUCUGAAGCCUGUUGCCUGGACGCUUCACCUGCAUGAUAAAACUUUGCUCGCCACAACCCCUUAUCAUUGUAACACGGACAUUUCUUUCUAUUGAUUCCAGGUCUUUAGAUAAUAAAUGAACUCUUUCAACCAAUUGCCAAUCAGAAAAAAUUUAAGUUUACCUAUAACCUGGAAGCCCCCACUUCAAGUUGUCCUGCUUUUCCAAACAGAACCAAUGUAUAUCUUACAUGUAUUUGAUUAUUGUCUCAUGGCUCCCUUAAACAUAUAGAACUAGGCUAUACUCCAACCACCUUGGACACAUGUUCUCAGGGUAUCCUGAAGGCUGUGUCAUGGGUCACUGGACACUCAUAUUUGGCUGAGAAUAAAUCUCCUCAAAUAUUUUUUAGAGUUUGACUCUUUUUGUCGAUAGAACAGUAACAAUUGCCUAUUUUUCUAUCCUGUUCUUUUUUUUGUUUUGUUUUGUUUUUCCGAGACGGAGUCUCGCUCUGUCGCCCGGGCUGGAGUGCAGUGGCGCGAUCUCUGCUCACUGUAAGCUCCGCCUUCCGGGUUCACGCCAUUUUCCUGCCUCAGCCUUCCGAGUAGCUGGGACUACAGGCGCCCGCCACCAUGCCCAGAUAAUUUUUUUGUAUUUUUAGUCACGCCCGGCUAAUUUUUUUGUAUUUUUAGUAGAGAUAGGGUUUCACCGUGUUAGCCAGGAUGGUCUUGAUUUCCUGACCUAUUGAUCCGCCCACCUUGGUCUCCUAAAGUGCUGGGAUUACAGGCUUGAGCCUCCGGGCCCGGCCUUUUCUAUCCUGUUCUUAAUACCAGAUUGACACACAGCUGAUGCUAAGAUAUGUGGUUUAUAAUGAUUUCUUUCCGUCUCUCUAAUUCUGACAUAGCUUUUUAAAAAUGCUUAUCUAAAGGUUAAUAAUUUCAUUGAAACCACAGCCUAGAUGCUGGGGUCAUUGAUAAGUAUUUGUGUUUGAUUAUUAUUUUUAAAAUUAUCAUUUAGUAAAAUUGACAUUUUUAUUGUGUGGUGUAAAGAUUUAUGAAUUUUAACAUGUUUGGGUUGGUGUAACCACCACUACAAUUAGCACACAGAAUAGUUCUAUCAGUGCAAAAAGCUCUCUCAUGGUAUCCUUUGUAGCCAUUUCCUCCCCUACCGAUAAUCUCUGACAACCAGUGAUCUGUUCUCUAGAAUGUCCAAUCUUUGGUAGUAAUGGGAAUUUUAGUUCAUUUUCCAAAAAGUGUCUUAUGUUGUAAUAGUUGGAACUCAUGCAUUUAGGUAAGAAAAAACAUAUUAUGUCUUUAAAUAAUGCAUUUAAAAAUAAACGUUAGUAACUGUAUCUUUUUCAAAUGUGUUUUUUCUCUAUGUCGCUGGGUUUUUUGGUUUUAUGGUCCAUGAAAGAGAACAGAAAUGAAGAAGACACAUACACACGCAUUUCCACUCAUUAUUUCCCCUGCCUUAAAAUUAUUAACUUGGUCCUUCCUCAAAAUAUUUAUACUUUAAUUAAAAUGGCUGAAGGCAAAUCUAAUUUUUAUAGGUGAUCACUCCUCACUGAUCUCCCAUUAUAGGUACAGUUGCUAUAAUUACUCCUGAAUUAAAGAAACAUAUAACUUCACAAUAUAAAAUGUCUCCCACAACCAUGCAUUCCCUUCUCCCA